UUGCCUACGGGAGGCAGCAGUGGGGAAUAUUGCACAAUGGGGGAAACCCUGAUGCAGCGACGCCGCGUGAGUGAAGAAGUAUCUCGGUACGUAAAGCUCUAUCAGCAGGGAAGAAAAAAAGUCUUUGGCUUUGGACGGUACCUGACUAAGAAGCCCCGGCUAACUACGUGCCAGCAGCCGCGGUAAUACGUAGGUGGCAAGCGUUGUCCGGAUUUAUUGGGUUUAAAGGGUGCGCAGGCGGAUUUUUAAGUCAGCGGUCAAAUCGUGGGGCUCAACCCCAUCCAGCCGUUGAAACUGGGGAUCUA
rnacentral:rRNA from 1 species